GCUAACCACUGUAAUCCCAGCUACUGGGAAGGCUGAUGCAGCAAGACUGUCUGAGCCCUGGAGUUUUGGGCUAUAGCAAGCUAUGUCCAUCAAGUGUCAACACUAAGUUCAGCAUAACGACAGUGACCUUCCAAGAGCAGGGAACCACCAAAUUGCUUAAGUAGGAGUGAACUGUCCCAGUUUAGAAAUGGAGCAGGUCAAAACUCCCAUGCUGACCAGCAGUAGAAUCAUGUCUGUGAAUAGCUACUGCAGUCCAGCCUGAACAACACAGAGAUAGCCCAUCUC
rfam:Otolemur garnettii contig005994, whole genome shotgun sequence.